rnacentral:rRNA from 1 species
UACGUAGGUCCCGAGCGUUGUCCGGAUUUAUUGGGCGUAAAGCGAGCGCAGGUGGUUUAUUAAGUCUGGUGUAAAAGGCAGUGGCUCAACCAUUGUAUGCAUUGGAAACUGGUAGACUUGAGUGCAGGAGAGGAGAGUGGAAUUCCAUGUGUAGCGGUGAAAUGCGUAGAUAUAUGGAAGAACACCAGUGGCGAAAGCGGCUCUCUGGUCUGUAACUGACGCUGAGGCUCGAAAGCGUGGGGAGCAAACAGG